rnacentral:rRNA from 1 species
CCUACGGGAGGCAGCAGUGGGGAAUAUUGCGCACUGGGCGAAAGCCUGACGCAGCGACGCCGCGUGCGGGAUGAAGGUCUUCGGAUCGUAAACCUCUGUCAGCAGGGAAGAACGGUCACUGUGCUAAUCAGCAGUGAAUUGACGGUACCUGCAAAGGAAGCACCGGCUAACUCCGUGCCAGCAGCCGCGGUAAUACGGAGGGUGGGAGCGUUAAUCGGAAUUACUGGGCGUAAAGCGCUCGUAGGCGGUAUGUCAAGUCAAGGGUGAAAUCCCCGCGCUCAACGUGGGAACGGCCUUUGAAACUGGCAGACUGGAGUGGGUGAGAGGAUAGUGGAAUUCCAGGUGUAGGAGUGAAAUCCGUAGAUAUCUGGAGGAACAUCAGUGGCGAAGGCGACUAUCUGGCACAUAACUGACGCUGAGGAGCGAAAGCGUGGGUAGCAAACAGGAUUAGAUACCCCAGUAGUC